UAGGGAAUUUUCGUCAAUGGGCGCAAGCCUGAACGAGCAAUGCCGCGUGAGUGAGGAAGGUCUUCGGACUGUAAAGCUCUGUUGCCGGGGAAAAAGGGGAAAUGCAGGAAAUGGCAUUUCAUGGAUGGUACCCGGCCAGAAAGCCACGGCUAACUACGUGCCAGCAGCCGCGGUAAUACGUAGGUGGCGAGCGUUAUCCGGAAUGAUUGGGCAGGUAAGGCGCGCAGGCGGUCUGUUAAGUCUGAAGGCAAAGGGAUGAGCUCAACUCAUUUAUGAUUCAGAAACUGGCAGACUUGAGGACAGGAGAGGGCGGUGGAACUCCAUGUGUAGCGGUAAAAUGCGCAGAGAUAUGGAAGAACACCAGUGGCGAAGGCGGCCGCCUGGCCUGUGACUGACGCUGAGGCACGAAAGCGUGGGGAGCAAAUAGGAUUAGAUACC
rnacentral:rRNA from 1 species